GACGAACGCUGGCGGCGUGCCUAAUACAUGCAAGUCGAACGCAUUUUCUUUCACCGUAGCUUGCUACACCGAAAGAAAAUGAGUGGCGAACGGGUGAGUAACACGUUGGCAACCUGCCCAUCAGCGGGGGAUAACACUUGGAAACAGGUGCUAAUACCGCAUAAUUCCAUUUACCGCAUGGUAGAGGGAUGAAAGGCGCUUUUGCGUCACUUAUGGAUGGACUCGCGGUGCAUUAGCUAGUUGGUGGGGUAACGGCCUACCAAGGCUGCGAUGCAUAGCCGACCUGAGAGGGUGAUCGGCCACACUGGGACUGAGACACGGCCCAGACUCCUACGGGAGGCAGCAGUAGGGAAUCUUCGGCAAUGGACGCAAGUCUGACCGAGCAACGCCGCGUGAGUGAAGAAGGUUUUCGGAUCGUAAAACUCUGUUGUUAGAGAAGAACAAGGAUGAGAGUGGAAAGUUCAUCCCUUGACGGUAGCUAACCAGAAAGCCACGGCUAACUACGUG
rnacentral:rRNA from 1 species